rnacentral:rRNA from 1 species
AUUGAACGCUGGGGGAUUGCUUCCCUUUUGAAAGUCAAACGGCAGCAUAGGUGCUUGCACCUGAUGGUGAGGGGCGAACGGGUGAGUAAUACAUCGAACCUUGCCCAGUCGGGGGGAAUAACGUACCGAAAGUUACGCUAAUACCGCAUACAAUCUACGGAUGAAAGCGGGGGACCGUAAGGCCUCCCGCGAUUGGAGCGGCCGAUGUUAAAUUAGGUAGUUGGGGGGGAAAAGGCUCACCAAGCCAACAAUCUAUAGUUGGUCUGAAAGGAUGAUCAGCCACACUGGGACUGAGACACGGCCCAAACUCCU